rnacentral:lncRNA from 12 species
CACAGUGCUCCAUGCCUCCUUCCCUGAGCUUGCAACCCAGGGAGGGUGAGGAACAGAUGGCUCUGGCCACCUCGAGGAACCGCCUGACGAUCAGUACGACCAACAGUCAGUGCCCACCGUCUCCACCGGUCACCAGGGUGGAGUGUCAGGGGCCACCGGGGGAAGCGAGACCUCCUGCUCUCCUGACUCGUCCAGCUCAUGCGCAGCUCCAGCAUCGUUACUGCCACUCCCCUGAGCCUGGCCUCUCACUCCUAGGCUUGGUGCCUGACCCCAGAGGAGCCCUUGAGAUCAUAGCACAAGGCAGACCUUCCGCCGCAGAGCAAAAUAAGAUCCUUCGAGAAUGAUCUGGAGCAGCAGAACGCCGUCCCCUGUUUUAUACCCUCAUAAACAAGCUCAAUUGGGUGAAAAGCGCUUGUGGCAGCGCAGGCCUCUCUGGCAACCGCUCGUCUAGGUUUCCCUUCUCUGCUUGAUUCUUCUUUUUGAUAAGAGAUCAGGUAACCAUGACAACAUGGCACAGUGGAAGUCCUUUCAUUUCUGUGCUUUACAUAAUCCUGAAAAUAAAUCUGCUAUCUGUUUGACA